rnacentral:misc_RNA from 1 species
GUGAGUCAUCGAAUCUUUGAACGCACAUUGCGCCCGUCAGUAUUCUGGCGGGCAUGCCUGUUCGAGCGUCAUUACGCCCCUCAAGUCCCCUGUGGACUUGGUGUUGGGGAUCGGCGAGGCUGGUUUUCCAGCACAGCCGUCCCUCAAAUCAAUUGGCGGUCUCGCCGUGGCCCUCCUCUGCGCAGUAGUAAAACACUCGCAACAGGAGCCCGGCGCGGUCCACUGCCGUAAAACCCCCCAACUUUUUAUAGUUGACCUCGAAUCAGGUAGGACUACCCGCUGAACUUAAGCAUAUCAAUAAGCGGAGGA